GGUGUUGAAGCUCAGUGGUUAAAAGAUGUUGGACUAUUGAUCGGAAGGUCGUUAGUUCAAAUCCCAGCACUG